GAUGGACCCGCGGUGCAUUAGCUAGUUGGUGAGGUAACGGCUCACCAAGGCAACGAUGCAUAGCCGACCUGAGAGGGUGAUCGGCCACACUGGGACUGAGACACGGCCCAGACUCCUACGGGAGGCAGCAGUAGGGAAUCUUCGGCAAUGGACGAAAGUCUGGCCGAGCAACGCCGCGUGAGUGAAGAAGGUUUUCGGAUCGUAAAACUCUGUUGUUAGAGAAGAACAAGGAUGAGAGUAAAACGUUCAUCCCUUGACGGUAUCUAACCAGAAAGCCACGGCUAACUACGUGCCAGCAGCCGCGGUAAUACGUAGGUGGCAAGCGUUGUCCGGAUUUAUUGGGCGUAAAGCGAGCGCAGGCGGGUUCUUAAGUCUGAUGUGAAAGCCCCCGGCUCAACCGGGGAGGGUCAUUGGAAACUGGGAGACUUGAGUGCAGAAGAGGAGAGUGGAAUUCCAUGUGUAGCGGUGAAAUGCGUAGAUAUAUGGAGGAACACCAGUGGCGAAGGCGGCUCUCUGGUCUGUAACUGACGCUGAGGCUCGAAAGCGUGGGGAGCGAACAGGAUUAGAUACCCUGGUAGUCCACGCC
rnacentral:rRNA from 1 species